rnacentral:misc_RNA from 1 species
UUGUUUUAAUUUUAUGCUCAAUUAAGAGACGUUUACAUUCUUAUACUUUAAGUGUUAAAAAUGGGUGUAAAAAGUAGUAGUGUGCACAGUGUGAGAAAAUGAAUUGGGUCGGACCUCUAAAAAGAACGUCCUUGCAUUUCAUUAAUGAUCCUUCCGCAGGUUCACCUACGGAAA